UCUGUUUGAAAAAAAUAUUCAGUCUGGCCUGCCCACUGAGUAGUUUAAAGGGCCGCGGUAUUUGAACCGUGCUAAGGUAGCAUAAUAAAUAGUCUUUUAAUUGAGGUCUAGUAUGAAUGGUCGGAUAGAAAGUGAGCUGUUUUGUUUAUAGAGUUUGAAUUUUACCUUUAAGUGAAAAGGCUUAAAUUAUAUGGUGGGACGAUAAGACCCUAUAAAGCUUUACAUUUUAGCUGUUAGUUAAGGAGAUUAUGGUUUUCUGUUAUUGUCAGCUGGUGUGUUUCGUUGGGGCGACGGAAAUAUAAAAAGUAACUGUUUUUAUUGAAAAAUAAAAAUUUUUAGGAGAUCUGAUCCUUUAUAGAGAUUACAAGAAUAAAGUUACUUUAGGGAUAACAGCGUGAUUUUUCUUGAGAGUCCAUAUCGACAGAAAUAGUUGCGACCUCGAUGUUGAAUUAAGGUAACCCCAAGGUGUAGCAGUUUUGGUGGUAGGUCUGUUCGACCUUUAAAAU
rnacentral:rRNA from 1 species